rnacentral:rRNA from 1 species
AAUCAACGCUGGCGGCGUGCCUAACACAUGCAAGUCGAACGAGAAAGUGGAGCAAUCCAUGAGUAAAGUGGCGCACGGGUGAGUAACACGUGACUAACCUACCCUUGAGUGGGGGAUAACCUCGGGAAACCGGGGCUAAUACCGCAUAAUAUCGAGAGAUCAAAGGAGCAAUUCGCUUAAGGAGGGGGUCGCGGCUGAUUAGCUAGUUGGUGAGGUAAUGGCUCACCAAGGCUAUGAUCAGUAUCCGGCCUGAGAGGGCGCACGGACACACUGGAACUGAAACACGGUCCAGACUCUACGGGAGGCAGCAGUGGGGAAUUUUGGACAAUGGGCGAAAGCCUGAUCCAGCAACUCUGCGUGAGGGACGAAGGUCUUCGGAUCGUAAACCUCUUUUACAUGGGAAGAAUACCCGCAAGGGUUCGACGUACCAUGUGAAUAAGCCACGGCUAACUAUGUGCCAGCCGCCGCAAGU